UUAAACCAAAAAUGUUGAAUAUCCGGAGAUCUUUUGAAUGUAUAACUUGAUCAUAUAUGUUGUGUUAG